rnacentral:rRNA from 1 species
GGGACCCUACCGUGCUUAGGCUCUCUAAACUGCGACCCCAGUUUAGGCGGGAUCACCCAUUGAGUUUAAGCAUAUCAAAAACGGCGGGAGAAAAA